rnacentral:rRNA from 1 species
GUGGGGAAUAUUGGACAAUGGGCGAAAGCCUGAUCCAGCCAUGCCGCGUGUGUGAAGAAGGUCUUCGGAUUGUAAAGCACUUUAAGUUGGGAGGAAGGGCAGUAAGUUAAUACCUUGCUGUUUUGACGUUACCGACAGAAUAAGCACCGGCUAACUUCGUGCCAGCAGCCGCGGUAAUACGAAGGGUGCAAGCGUUAAUCGGAAUUACUGGGCGUAAAGCGCGCGUAGGUGGUUUUGUAAGUUGGAGGUGAAAGCCCCGGGCUCAACCUGGGAACUGCCUCCAAAACUGCAUGACUAGAGUACGGUAGAGGGUAGUGGAAUUUCCUGUGUAGCGGUGAAAUGCGUAGAUAUAGGAAGGAACACCAGUGGCGAAGGCGACUACCUGGACUGAUACUGACACUGAGGUGCGAAAGCGUGGGGAGCAAACAGGAUUAGAAACCCUGGUAGUCC